rnacentral:lncRNA from 1 species
UCAGUGUGUUAUAUAGUAGUUGGUCCAGGUCAGUGUGUUAUAUAGUAGUUGGUCCAGGUCAGAUCAGUGUGUUAUAUAGUAGUUGGUCCAGGUCAGAUCAGUGUGUUAAAUAGUAGUUGGUCCAGGUCAGUGUGUUAUAUAGUUGUUGGUCCAGGUCAGAUCAGUGUGUUAUAUAUUUGUUGGUCCAGGUCAGUGUGUUAUAUAGUAGUUGGUCCAGGUCAGAUCAGGGUGUUAUAUAGUAGUUGGUCCAGGUCAGUCUGUUAUAUAGUAGUUGGUUCAGGUCAGAUCAGUGUGUUAUAU